AAACGAUGCCACCAGCGAUCAGCCUGAGUUCUUUAAAUGACUCGGCUGGCAGCUUCCGGGAAACCAAAGUUUUUCGGUUCCGGGGGAAGUAUGGUUGCAAAGCUGAAACUUAAAGGAAUUGACGGAAGGGCACCACCAGGAGUGGAGCCUGCGGCUUAAUUUGACUCAACACGGGAAAACUUACCCGGCCCGGACACUGGAAGGAUUGACAGAUUGAGAGCUCUUUCUUGAUUCAGUGGGUGGUGGUGCAUGGCCGUUCUUAGUUGGUGGAGUGAUUUGUCUGGUUAAUUCCGAUAACGAACGAGACUCUAGCCUACUAAAUAGACUACCGUUCCUUUGUGACGGUAGGACUUCUUAGAGGGACAGGCGGCGACUCAGCCGCACGAAACAGAGCAAUAACAGGUCUGUGAUGCCCUUAGAUGUCCGGGGCCGCACGCGCGCUACACUGAAGUGAUCAGCGUGCAUUAAUAACCCUCUCUGUCAAGAGUGGGUAACCCAUUGAACCUUCUUCGUGAUUGGGAUAGGGUAUUGUAAUUCUUACCCUUGAACGAGGAAUUCCCAGUAAGCGCGAGCCAUAAGCUUGCGUUGAUUACGUCCCUGCCCUUUGUACACACCGCCCGUCGCUACUACCGAUUGAAUGAUUUAGUGAGGUCUUCGGACUGGCUGAUGCAGCUGCCUUCGGGUGGCCGCGUUGUGCUGGAA
rnacentral:rRNA from 1 species